UUGAACGCUGGCGGCAGGCCUAACACAUGCAAGUCGAGCGGAUGAAGGGAGCUUGCUCCUGGAUUCAGCGGCGGACGGGUGAGUAAUGCCUAGGAAUCUGCCUGGUAGUGGGGGAUAACGUCCGGAAACGGGCGCUAAUACCGCAUACGUCCUGAGGGAGAAAGUGGGGGAUCUUCGGACCUCACGCUAUCAGAUGAGCCUAGGUCGGAUUAGCUAGUUGGUGGGGUAAAGGCCUACCAAGGCGACGAUCCGUAACUGGUCUGAGAGGAUGAUCAGUCACACUGGAACUGAGACACGGUCCAGACUCCUACGGGAGGCAGCAGUGGGGAAUAUUGGACAAUGGGCGAAAGCCUGAUCCAGCCAUGCCGCGUGUGUGAAGAAGGUCUUCGGAUUGUAAAGCACUUUAAGUUGGGAGGAAGGGCAGUAAGUGAAUACCUUGCUGUUUUGACGUUACCAACAGAAUAAGCACCGGCUAACUUCGUG
rnacentral:rRNA from 1 species